rnacentral:rRNA from 1 species
UACGUAGGGUGCAAGCGUUGUCCGGAAUUAUUGGGCGUAAAGAGCUCGUAGGCGGUUUGUCGCGUCUGCUGUGAAAAUCCAAGGCUCAACCUUGGACCUGCAGUGGGUACGGGGCAGACUAGAGUGCGGUAGGGGGAGAUGGGAAUUCCUGGUGUAGCGGUGGAAUGCGCAGAUAUCAGGAGGAACACCAAUGGCGAAGGCACAUCUCUGGGCCGUAACUGACGCUGAGGAAGCGAAAGCGUGGGGGAGCGAACAGG